AGUGUAAUAUCUGAGUCAAAUGGUAAGUCCAUUCCAAGUUUUCUAAGGAAUCUCCCUACUGCUUUCCAGAUUGGCUGCACCAAUUUGCAGUCCCACCAGCAAU
rnacentral:pre_miRNA from 1 species